CCUACGGGGGGCAGCAGUGGGGAAUAUUGGACAAUGGGGGCAACCCUGAUCCAGCCAUGCCGCGUGUGUGAAGAAGGCCCUCGGGUUGUAAAGCACUUUCAGUGAGGAAGAACGCCUGGUGGUUAAUACCCAUCAGGAAAGACAUCACUCACAGAAGAAGCACCGGCUAACUCCGUGCCAGCAGCCGCGGUAAUACGGGGGGUGCGAGCGUUAAUCGGAAUUACUGGGCGUAAAGCGCGCGUAGGUGGCUUGAUAAGCCGGUUGUGAAAGCCCCGGGCUCAACCUGGGAACGGCAUCCGGAACUGUCAAGCUAGAGUGCAGGAGAGGAAGGUAGAAUUCCCGGUGUAGCGGUGAAAUGCGUAGAGAUCGGGAGGAAUACCAGUGGCGAAGGCGGCCUUCUGGACUGACACUGACACUGAGGUGCGAAAGCGUGGGUAGCAAACAGGAUUAGAUACCCUUGUAGUC
rnacentral:rRNA from 1 species